GACCGUGCAAAGGUAGCAUAAUCAUUUGCCUUAUAAUUGAAGGCUUGUAUGAAUGGUUUGACAAGAAUGAAUCUGUCUCUUUAUAAUUAAGUAUAAUUUUAUUUACAGGUGAAGAAGCCUGUAUUAGAUUGAAAGACAAGAAGACCCUAUCGAGCUUAAAAACAAUUAAUAAAGUUUAAAUCAUAUUAAUAUUGAAUUAAUUAUUAAAAAUUUUAGUUGGGGCGACGGAGGAACAAAUAAAGCUUCCUUAAUAUCUUUACACAUACAAGUCAUGAUCCAUACGUUUUGAUUAAAGGAAUUAGUUACCGUAGGGAUAACAGCAUUAUCUUUUUUAAGAGCUCAAAUCGAAAAAAAGGUUUGUGACCUCGAUGUUGGACCAGAAUAUCCUAAAGAUGCAGCCGUCUUUAAGGGUUGGUCUGUUCGACCAUUAAAAUUCUACGUGAUCUGAGUUCAGACCGGCGUGAGCCAGGUCAGUUUCUAUCUUCAAUUUAUGAUGUGGGCUUAGUACGAAAGGAUUAGUUCAUAGUAAAAAUUACUAAAGUUGAUAAAGUAUAAAAUAUAAUUUAGUACAUAAAUAUAAAUCAAAUUAGCAAAGAUAAUGCAAUUGACUUAGGAUCAGUAGACAUAGGUGAAACCCCUUUAUUUGAUAUAUUUAUAAAGGUGGCAGAUGAA
rnacentral:rRNA from 1 species